rnacentral:rRNA from 1 species
UACGGGGGGGGGCAAGCGUUGUUCGGAAUUACUGGGCGUAAAGGGCUCGUAGGCGGCCAACUAAGUCAUACGUGAAAUCCCUCGGCUUAACCGGGGAACUGCCUUUGAUACUGGGUAUCUCGAGUAUGGAAGAGGUGAGUGGAAUUCCGAGUGUAGAGGUGAAAUUCGUAGAUAUUCGGAGGAACACCAGUGGCGAAGGCGGCUCACUGGUCCAUUACUGACGCUGAGGUGCGAAAGCGUGGGGAGCAAACAGG